UAUAUAUAUAUAAAUAACAAAAACAAACAACAAACCUAGAAAAUGAGUCAAGAAGCAGUAAAUGAAAACUGCCUAUUGGAUGGAUCUAUUAGAUCAGACUUACUAAAUAAAUAGAGGGCAAAGUAGAGCUAGAUAGAAUCCACCAUAAUGAACAGUCACAAGAAUGUUGUAGCCCAAAUCCAAAAGUCUUUGUGUCCAAGAAAAAAGAGUGCAAAUAUCCAGAAAGAAGGUGGUCAUAUACCAAGCAACUACACUCCAGAUCACUCAAGACCUGGCAGCUUCUGCUUGAAAUGCAAGGAGAUGCUGGAAUAUAAUCUUCCAAAAAAAAAAAAAAGAUGAAAAAUCGGGCUAGAAACCAAGAUUAUAGCUCAUCUUGAAAGGCUGAUGUUAAUCUUUAAGGGGGAAAAAUGGAUCUUUAAUGCAACAGCAGCCUUCCAGGCAUAGCCAGUGAAAAGCCAAGAGCUGGGCAGGAACUCUCAAACCCAAACACAACUUUAGAAACCUAGGAAGAGAAAUGUGAGCAGUUGGAAGGAGCUAUAUAGUGAUGUGGUGCUAACAUUGAAACCUUAAUGCAAUUGAGGUAGAUACUGAGGAUAAUAAAAGGUAUUGAGGGAGUUAAAUGAGAAAUGGGCAGAGCUAGAUGUGGGUUACUUCUGAGGGUUUGAAAAGAGGAAAGAGAAGGGAAUGGAAUAGCAAGAACAAGAACCGAAAGGAGGAAGAAGGGAGUGAACUUAUGUCUCUCAUUGAUGGGAUGCCUGAGUCUCAGAGGAUGCCAGUGUGGAGCCAUCAGAUGAACCUCUCACUCUUAUCAGAAAAAAACUCUCCAAGGAGAGUUGUGUGCACAAACACACACACAAAUCAACAGGGAACCAAGUGGGGAUGGUGGGGGGAGGUUAAGAUCAAGGAUAAUCCCAGAGAGAAAGAAUAAUCAUGAGUGAAAAAAAAAAACCUUAAUGCUGAGGAGGGAGGGGAAAGAAAAGUAAAGAGCUUGGACUUAGGUUGCUUCUUAGACAAUGGAAGGAUGGCUGAACAGAUGGUGAUGAAGAGAGCUAACAUUUCUCUAGUGGCUACUAUGUGCCAGGCUCUAUGCUAAGCACUUUACAAGUAUUAUCUCAUUUUUUCCUUAUAACCACCUUGGGAGGUGGGUGCAUUUUAUCCAUGUUUUAUAGAUGAGGAAACUGAGGCAGACAGUUAUUCUGGUCAGAGUCACUCUGGGGACAUUUGACCUCCAGGCCCAGCUCUCUAGGCAUGUGAUAGCUAUAUGAUGGGGGUCUGGCACCUACUGGCUUGCUCAGCUGAUGCAACAUGUCCAAGGGGAGGGUUCUAGGGAGCUUGGUUCUGAGACAGUCAUGAUGAUGAACUUUGGGGGGACACCCUGGAGCAUGCAAAGAUUUUCUGCGGCCCCCUUUCUCCCCUCCGUGAGGUGGAGCUCUUCUGAUUUGUCUUGGAUGCAUUCAGUCAGCAUCCGCUCCCUCCUCUUUUGCCUCUGUUCUCCUCUGGGGUUCUCAGGGAGAUGACUGGGACCCUAAAAACAGACGUCCUUGGCCUUUGGUGAUGGUUGUGGCUCUUUUGUGUUCCAGGUGAGGAGUGGCAUCUCCUGCCUGGAGAUUUUUGAAAGGCCUGGAGACCCUGGAAUCCCAGAGUCUGAAUGGAGGCUGGGCUUGGCAGCCAUUCCAAAGUCAAUAUCCCAAGGGCAUCUUUGGGAGAGAUCAUGAGGGUCCCCGGCGGGACACUCCUCCGGCAGGAACCAGGCUAUGACCCCACAGACCAAAGUGCUGGAGGGGGGCUGUGAACCCAAACGGUGGGGGCAAUGUAGCCUGCCUGGCUCUUGGAGAGGGAGCCAGGGCACACUCGCUCACUACAAGGUUGAAGUGCAGCUUGUUCAACGACUAACUAAAUUAUGAACUUCCAACUAGGAGGAGUGACGCAGAGUCAGAAACCGGGACCUGAGCAGCACAGGAACUAUGUUGGACGUCACUGCCUGGAAACCCGGGGCUCGCCUCAGUGCUCGGCAGAGUCACACCAUAACAAACUCAUUUGAAAUUGAAAACAGAUAGAGAGAGAGAAGAGAGAGGGGGGAGGGAAGGAAAGGAAAAGGACGAAAAAAGGAAAGAGGGAGGAGGAGGAGGAAGGAAAGCUAAGCGAAUCGGAGAAACUUCUUCCUGCACAGAAGAGAAGGGAAGGGCACCGAGGAAGCAGCGGCGGCGCGCAGGAGAGUGGGAAGAGCGGUGCAGAAUAACUCCAAAUUAGGCAGGGGACGGAGGAUUCGAUCCGCCUCUGCAUUCUUUAGGGUUGCAGUUUGGGAAAGAGAAAAGAAAGCGGGUUCCAGCAGGCUAAUGGAACACGUGAGCGACGGACUGGAUCUGCCCAGCGUGCGGCGUCGCAGCCCGACAACAGCCACCGGGCCACAGGCAGGAGGAGGUCGUCAGUCUGCGCCACAGCUGAGCGGGCUCCGGGCGCAGCUCGGAAGGUUUAUCUCUGGCUCCGCCCAAGGAGCCGUCCGUCAGAUCUGGGGACGUCCGCCUUGGACGCCGCUCACGCUCGGCCUUUCCCGGUUCCCCUCUCGGCUGUGGGCUGACGAGAAGUCGGGAAGAGGCGAGAGGAGGUCUCGGAGCCGCCAGAGGUGCAGCCCGCUUGCACACGGCAGGGCGGCUGCCCUAGUCUGACUGCCGGGGGUGGCAGCUGGCAAGGGGCUCUCUACCCCGGGCUCGGGUCCUCCAGGCUUCCGCGAGGCGGACCCGAGGAGGCGAGGGGCUCCCGGAGCAUGCUGGGUCCAGACUUCCCAGCCCCGGGCCUGGCGAGCUGGACGGGGGGCGCGAACUCUCUUCCUCUUCUUCCUCUCUCGGCUUUCCCGCCUUCCAGCCGCGAUCCCGAGAGGGAGCUGAAGUGGCCGUCCCUCCGCCUCCGAGAGCCGGGGAGGAGGGCAGACCGGAGGAGCUUGGGGAGACGCGCCCGUCCGAUGUCUUCCUACGGAACACCUGGCCUGCUUUCCACGCCCGGUUUUCCGCGUGUUCAGUAACCCGCCCGCCCGCCAAGGCUCUGGAUCCACGGAGAGUGGGCACUCGGGAGGGGGAGGGGGAGGGGGAGGGGACGGGCUCCUCCUCAUUCUGUGAGUGACCCAUUCUGGACCGCGGAGACCCAGAGCUUGAAGCUGCGGCGCGCCCUCUGGUGCGCAGUGGGGUUAUUGCAGCCUUCGAGGAAAGGCCUUAACAAAUGUGCAGGAAGACUCGACUCAGCCAGGAUCUGGUGGUUGGGAUGGAGUGCCACCUGGCGGGGAACUGAACUGUUGCAUUCUCUUGGUCUAUAAUACGUUAACAUGUGGCACCAGAAAGGUACUUAAGUGUCACAGUCUUAACUCUCUCCCUCUCCCCUCAGCCUUUCCCCCUCUCCCUCCUUCCCCCUCUUUCUCUCUCCCUUUCUUCUCCCCCUUCCCCCCAUCGUGAUGUCAGUCACAUAAGUGAAAUCAUGCAAACACUUUCGAAUUAGCCAUGUUUCCCCCCAAAAGCAAGCAAGCAAGAAGGUGAGCAAAUUCUCCCUGAAUUCUCACUCAGGGCCCACCGGUUCUGUCUGGAAGUGGAGAACACUUUGGUCCUGCAGCCUUUGGAGCGUCGUCGCUCAUUCGUGGGCCGUCCAUGCCUUGGCUGUCCUUACUGUCAGGGUGGCCAGAGAUGUCGGGUGCUCCUCACUCCACUUUAAUGGGUUCCUUUGGGUCCUUCCCUAUGUCUGUCUUCUGGCCUGGUCCCCAUCACUCCUUAGGGCUCCACAGUGGCUCUUCCCUGUUCCUUGGGUGGGCGACCUUGCCAGUGGCCUCUCUGGUCCCCGGAUCUCCUCAGCAUGGGUCCCUCCUGCAGGGGUGAGGUGGGAGCUCAGACUGUCAGAGGGCGGACAGCGCAGUCCUACAGGGUCAGUAUGUCCCAUCUCCUCUGGGGCAAGCAGGAUGAUCAGGCGGAGAAGGAGCCCCUUGAUGGAUGGAUCACUCCAUUCCUGGCUGGCUUCUAGCAGCCCAAGAAGCUUCCUCAGGCUUAAGGUCAGGAGUAGCCUUUGGCUUUCCCACUCCUACUCCCCUGCAACAUCAGGCUGGCAGUCAGCCUUGCUUUUCUGGCCCAAGUCUCUGCCACUGUGUCGGGAAUCAGUUUGUGCCCACAUAACUCACUUCUCUAAAAUAAAAACAAAGAAGAUAAAGCCAAGUGCCCGCUGCUGCCUGCCCACUGUGUACCAGUCGGGAAUGACUCUUACUUUAACCAAGCCCAUGCAGUCAUGCACUCGGCAUGUACUUGAACAAGGAGCUCCAGGAGCAGCUAGGUAGCACAGUGGAUAGAGCCCCAGGCCUGGAGUCAAGAGGACCUGGGUUCCAAUCUGGCCUCAGAUACUUCCCAGCUGUGUGCCCCUAGACAAAUCGCUUCACCCCAACUGCCCAGCCCUUGCCCCUCUCCUGUCUUAGAAGGGACCCUGGGACAGAGGAGAACAGUUUAUUUUUACUUUUUUAUGAAUAAAUUGAGCAUAUUUUCCCAUGGUUCCAUGAUUCAUGAUCUUUCCCUCCCCCUCCCGGAGCUGACAAGGAAUUCCACUGUUGCCAGGGACAUCUUUGGAGUCAUGAUAGGGGAUGCUUAGGAGUCCAAGAAAGAAAGCCUGGAGCAUUAUCAAAGAGGGAUAAUGAACAUUUGUGUGCAGCCCCCAAGAUUUAAAGCUCUCCUCAGAGGAACAACCUCCCCUCCCCAGAGAGGGAACAGGGGAGUUUCCUGCUCUUGGGAGUUCUUGGAACUGUUUAUGCAGCCUUGAACUGAGAACUCUAUGUUUUGGCACUCAGCAGGAAUAGUAUGGCACAAACACCUGGGAAGAGGAACUCUUUCCCAUGAGGUCAUGGAAGGUUCACUGCACACUGUAUGCAUGGAUCGUUGCUCAAAACCCAUCUCCAGGCUAUUCAUAUUUGCAGGAGAGUGAUCUUUUCAAAGCCAAACCUCAAUACUUCCCCAUCGAACCACACGGUUGAUCCUAUGUUUUUCUAUUGACUUUCCGCUCCCACAGUUCUUCCUCUGGAUAUGAAUACAUUCUUUCUCCUAAGUCCUUCGGGAUUGUCUUGGAUCUUUGCAUUGCUGCUAGUAGAGAAGUCCACUACAUUCGAUUGUACUGCAGUGUAUCCGGCUCUGUGUACAACGUUCUCCUGGUUCUGCUCCUUUCACUCUGCAAGAAGGUCUCGGCAAUUGUGGGAAAGAGUUUGGCCUCUGGUAAAGAUUUGGCUCCCUACGGUUUACUGGCUGAAUCCAUGGUGACAGCGAGGCCACACGUGUGAUUCGCACGGCUGGGUCCCGUCUUGCCCAGCGGCCUGGCACAGCCAAGAAACUGCUGCUCUGAGAACCAGAUAGAAUUGAAUGCGAGUGGGGGCAUACCAGGCACGUUGGCAUCUGGAAGUGUGGUUGAUGCGUUGCUAUUGUAUUACAUAUAUUCACUUAUCAGAUGCUUGGGCAGAUCAGUUAGCACUCUUUGUAUGAGAAGCUACAGUCCAAGGGCAAGAGAAUCCCUGGGCCGCCAGACACUGAGCUGAGCCCUCACCUGGUCGGACCUCGCUCCUCUGAAAAGCGCAUGUCGGGGAUCCCCACCGCUUUGAUCUUGUCAUUCAACCAUGUUAAGACCCGCGUGCCGUGUUCCGUGUCCACUGAUCACCUCCCAGUCCACAAUAAAGGCUGGGGUGAGGCGCGCUGCUCCUCCUCUUGAUCCCUGCA